rnacentral:rRNA from 1 species
GACGAACGCUGGCGGCGUGCCUAAUACAUGCAAGUCGAACGUAGUGGGGACGGGAGAGUAACACGUGGGUAACCUCCCAUCAGAGGGGAUAACACUUGGAAACAGGUGCUAAACCGAUACUGAUGGAUGAACUCGCGGUGCAUUAGCUAGUUGGUGAGGUAACGGCUCACCAGGGCCACGAUGCAUAGCCAACCUGAGAGGGGGAUCUGCCACACUGGGACUGAUACACGGCCCAGACGCCAACGGGAGGCAGCAGUGGGGAAUCUUCGGCAAUGGACGAAAGUCUUACCGAGCAACGCCGCAUGAGUGAAGAAGGUUUUCGGAUCGUAAAACUCUGUUGUUAGAGAAGCGGUAUCUAACCAAAAAGCCACGGCUAACUACGUGCCAGCAGCGGCGGUAAUAC